CGGGGUGUAGCUCAGCUGGCAGAGUGCUGCGUUUGGGACGCAGAAGUCAUCGGUUCGAAUCCGGUCACCCCGA
rnacentral:tRNA from 1 species